rnacentral:rRNA from 1 species
GACGAACGCUGGCGGCAUGCCUAAUACAUGCAAGUCGAGCGAACAGAUGAAGUGCUUGCACUUCUGACGUUAGCGGCGAACGGGUGAGUAACACGUAAGGAAUCUACCUAUAAGCGGGGGAUAACAUUCGGAAACGGGUGCUAAUACCGCAUAAUAUCUUCUUCCGCAUGGAAGAAGAUUGAAAGACGGCUCUGCUGUCACUUAUAGAUGACCUUGCGGUGCACUAGUUAGUUGGUGGGGUAAUGGCCUACCAAGACGAUGAUGCAUAGCCGACCGGAGAGGGUGAUCGGCCACAUUGGGACUGAGACACGGCCCAAACUCGUACGGGAGGCAGCAGUAGGGAAUCUUCCGCAAGGGGCGAAAGCCUGACGGAGCAAUGCCGCGUGAGUGAAGAAGGCCUUCGGGUCGUAAAACUCUGUUAUAAGAGAAGAACAAAUUGUAGAGUAACUGCUACAGUCUUGACGGUAUCUUAUCAGAAAGCCACGGCUAACUACGUGCCAGCCGCCGCAGUAA